rnacentral:rRNA from 1 species
CUCAAAUGAAUUGACGGGGGCCCGCACAAGCGGUGGAGCAUGUGGUUUAAUUCGAUGCAACGCGAAGAACCUUACCUGGUCUUGACAUCCACAGAACUUUCCAGAGAUGGAUUGGUGCCUUCGGGAACUGUGAGACAGGUGCUGCAUGGCUGUCGUCAGCUCGUGUUGUGAAAUGUUGGGUUAAGUCCCGCAACGAGCGCAACCCUUAUCCUUUGUUGCCAGCGGUCCGGCCGGGAACUCAAAGGAGACUGCCAGUGAUAAACUGGAGGAAGGUGGGGAUGACGUCAAGUCAUCAUGGCCCUUACGACCAGGGCUACACACGUGCUACAAUGGCAUAUACAAAGAGAAGCGACCUCGCGAGAGCAAGCGGACCUCAUAAAGUAUGUCGUAGUCCGGAUUGGAGUCUGCAACUCGACUCCAUGAAGUCGGAAUCGCUAGUAAUCGUAGAUCAGAAUGCUACGGUGAAUACGUUCCCGGGCCUUGUACACACCGCCCGUCACACCAUGGGAGUGGGUUGCAAAAGAAGUAGGUAGCUUAACCUUCGGGAGGGCGCUUACCACUUUGUGAUUCAUGACUGGGGUGAAGUCGUAACAAGGUAACCGUAGGGGAACCUGCGGUUGGAUCACCUCCUUACCUUAAAGAA